rnacentral:rRNA from 1 species
AGGAUCAUUAUUGAAAUAAAUCUGAUGAGUUGUUGCUGGUUCUCUAGGGAGCAUGUGCACACUUGUCAUCUUUAUAUCUUCACUUGUGCAUCUUUUGUAGACUUUGGAUAAUCUCUCUGAUUGCUUUUUUUUAAGCAUUCAGGAUUGAGGAUUGACUUUCUGUCUCUUCUUACAUUUUCCAGGUCUAUGUUUCUUCAUAUACCCUAGUGUAUGUUUAUAGAGUUAUUACGGGCCUUUUGUGCCCAUAUAUCUAUACAACUUUCAGCAACGGAUCUCUUGGCUCUCGCAUCGAUGAAGAACGCAGCGAAAUGCGAUAAGUAAUGUGAAUUGCAGAAUUCAGUGAAUCAUCGAAUCUUUGAACGCACCUUGCGCUCCUUGGNAUUCCGAGGAGCAUGCCUGUUUGAGUGUCAUUAAUAUAUAUCAACCUCUGGUUGGAUAUGGGUUUGCUGGCCUUUUCUUUGAGGUCAACUCUCCUUAAAUGCAUUAGCGGACAAUUUUGCCAAACGUUUCAUUAGUGUGAUAAUUAUCUACGCUAUUGAUGUGAAGCAGGUUCGACUUCUAAUGGCCCAUUGACUUGGACAAAUCUUUAUUUAUUAUGUGACCUCAAAUCAGGUAGGACUACCCGCUGA